rnacentral:rRNA from 1 species
GACGAACGCUGGCGGCGUGCCUAAUACAUGCAAGUAGAACGCUGAAGGAGGAGCUUGCUUCUCCGGAUGAGUUGCGAACGGGUGAGUAACGCGUAGGUAACCUGCCUGGUAGCGGGGGAUAACUAUUGGAAACGAUAGCUAAUACCGCAUAACAGUAGAUAUUGCAUGAUAUCUGCUUGAAAGGUGCAAUUGCAUCACUACCAGAUGGACCUGCGUUGUAUUAGCUAGUUGGUGAGGUAACGGCUCACCAAGGCGACGAUACAUAGCCGACCUGAGAGGGGGAUCGGCCACACUUGGACUGAGACACGGCCCAGACUCCUACGGGAGGCAGCAGUAGGGAAUCUUCGGCAAUGGACGGAAGUCUGACCGAGCAACGCCGCGUGAGUGAAGAAGGUUUUCGGAUCGUAAAGCUCUGUUGUAAGAGAAGAACGAGUGUGAGAGUGGAAAGUUCACACUGUGACGGUAUCUUACCAGAAAGGGACGGCUAACUACGUG